rnacentral:lncRNA from 1 species
AUAUAGGCUUUGGACUUUUGAUAGGUGAGCGGGACACGGACUCCAAGAUGAGCCCUCCAACUGCUUCUCUUGCUUGCAAGACCAAGACAACGUAGACCACAUCCUCUGCCACUGUGUUUAUGCGAGAAAAGUAUGGGAGGGCUGCUUUGAUGGUUUCAAUCUCAACAUUCCACCACCCGCCCCAUCUGGUAUGUUCAAAGAUUGGUGAUUUGCUCAGAGAAGGCUCUUCUCGGGAAGAACUCUACGCGGCUUCGACUCAUUCGUGAUCAGGACUGCAUGGGCGAUCUGAAAGCAAAGAAACACAAGAGUAUUCAACAGGACAAAUGACCAAAAAACACCAGCACAAUUGGUCAAUCAAGUGUUCGACGAGAUCAAGGAAUGGAAGCUUGUCGGCUUUGGUAUAGGAGGGUUAGAUCCAUUUAUGAGAGAGUAGCUUUGAUGUUUCUUUGUUGGUGUUGGUGUAUCCCACCAAUUGGGAUGUUCAAAUUUUAAUUGGUGUUUUGUAAGAGCAUCUCCAACAGAUGCACGAUUUUAGCCCCGCGCUGGAAAAAUCAUUUUUU